AACCAUUCUCACCUGCGGCUAGACCUGCGGAAGGAUCAUUACCAAUUAUAUAUGUUAGUUUGCCUGUGGCUUCGGUCACUGGUAUUAACUACUAUGUAAACGUUGAACUAGAUCAAUUGGUGUGGAUUGCUUGGGAAUGGACGAAGCGACAAGCCUCUUCCGGACAGGCAAGCCCCACACUGAUAACCUUUUUCAUAUCAUUUACUCGUAUAUACUACCACAACAAAAAAAAACAAAAGC
rnacentral:misc_RNA from 1 species